AGAAGAAAAAGAAAGAAAAAAGGAAGAAAAUAAAUAUAGAAAGAAAACCGAGAAGGAGAAAAGAAGAACGACUGGAGAAGAAGACAAAAAGGAGAAAGAGGAAGAGGAGGAGGAGGAAGAAGAAGAGGAAGAGGAAGAGGAAGAGGAGGAGGAGGAGGAGGAGGAAGAGGAGGUCAGUCAAAUCAUUCACACACUCUCUAGCACCAUUGUCAGCUAAGUAAAAAAAAAAAAAAAUAUAGAAAAACAGAAAAAAACGGGAAAAAUCGUCUUGAGAUAAAUAAUUCAAACACAAAAGCGAGGAGGAAGCGAACAAGAAGCGGACACAAAAAAUAAUAAAUAUGUAAAGAUGAAUAAGUGAAAUAAAUCAGACAAAUAAAAAGAAAGUGGAGCGAUGGCAGUGGCUAGUAAGGAGGAUAUAAUAAUAAUAAUGAGUAAAAUAAAUAAGAAUGGCGAUAAACGAGACAAGUGCGAAUAGACGUCUCGGAUCUUGGACCAAAAAUAUAAAAAUCGACAUAAAACUGCGGAAAAAAUUAAAAUCCAAACCCAAAAACUGAUAUAAAAACAAUGAAAAUAAAAAUCAGUGUCGAAAUAAUAAUAAUAAUGAAUAAAAUAAAUAAGAAUGGCGAUAAACGAGACGAGUGCGAACAUAGACGUCUCGAAUCGUGGACCAAAAUGAAAAAUCGCCAUAAAACUGCGGAAAAAUUAUAAAACCCGAACCAGAAAAAUGACAAAAAACAAUGAAAAUAAUAAUAAUGUCUAAAAAAAAAAUAAUAAUCAUAGGCGUUACGAAGAAAGUAUAAACGCGGAAACCAGCAGUGGUGGCGGCGGCGGCGGCAGCAUUUAGCAACUAUCAUCAUCAACAUCAGCACCUUCAUCACACACUUUAUUAUUAUUUUUAAUUUUUUUUCUUCGACCACAUCAAGUCAGCCACAUCAGCAACAACAACAACAGCACUAAGAACAACAACAACAACAACAGCAUUGACACCACAGCUCCACUAGGCAUUAUAGGGCUUGGAAGGAGGAGGAGAAGGAGAAGAAGAAGAAGGAGGAGGAGGAGGAGUAGAGAAAGUAAAGUUAAACACAGGAAGCAAGCACACACACACACAUACGAAGCUUGAGAGAGAGAGAGAGAGAGAGAGAGAGAGAGAGAGAGAGAGAGAGAGAGAGAGAGAGAGAGAGAGAGAGAGAGAGAGAGAGAGAGAGAGAGAGAGAGAGAGAGAGAGAGAGAGAGAGAGAGAGAGAGAGAGAGAGAGAGAGAGAGAUAGAGAGUGGCUUACUUCAAACUUUUUAAAUGCAUUACUUUCUACUUUUCUCUCUCUCUCUCUCUCUCUCUCCCUCUCUCUCUCACACACACACACACACACACACACACUGCUGUUGCUACUGCUGCCAUUGCAUGCAAUAAAAGAAGAGGAGGAGGAGGAGGAGGAGGAGGAGGAUGUAUUAGGAAGCAGGACAGCCCUAUAUGAUGAGGAGCUUGUGUGCGUGUAUGUGUGUGUGCGUAUGUAAGUGUAUGUACGUAUGUGUGUGUGUGUGUGUGUGUGUGUGUGAAUAUGUAUGUGUGUGUUUGUGUACCCUCAGCAACAUACAAGGCACAUAUUUUCCCAUUUAGCAACGAUAGGCAGAACUGGAAGGAGGAGGAGGAAGAAGGAGGAGUAGGAGGAAGAAGAAGAAGGAGGGUAAUGGAGGAGAAGGAGGAGGAGGAGGAGGAGGAGGAGGAGGAGGAGGAGGAAAUAUCAGUGGUGGCAGUGUCUAAUUACUCUCCGUUCUCUCUCUCUUUCCGUCCUUUCAUUCAAGUAGUAUUUCCGAGGCAACAUUGGAAGACUAGGAACAGAGUCAGUCAGUCAUCGGAGCCACUAACUCAAUACAGACACACAGUUAGUUUUACCAGUGGCUAGGAAGUGUGUGUUUGUGUACCAGGCGGGACCAUACCCUUAAACGUACAAGGCUCCCAUUACGUCUAUUUCCCAAAGCUACAAGGAGGAUUAACCAGGUCCUUAUUGGUGAUUCCCCUGUUCAAGAUGCAGCAGCCGUGUUAACCUAGCGCCCAGCAUCACGAAAGAGUCAAUGGUAAUCCUACACGUGACAGCUUCCACGAGAGGCUUUUAAAAUAGGCGUAGAAGGGAGUCGAUACGUUUGAGAGUAUAGGUCCAGGCUGGUCUGUUUCCAUGUGGUCGAUUAGUUCUUUAUUUUCUGCAUUGGAAGACUUGUUGAGUUGAUUCUUGCAGCGGCUGAGUUGAGAUUGAUGGGUGGUGAGUUGUAGCAUUUGCGAGUGGACGUGUCUUCUCUCUCAAUCUCCGUCUUCCGGUUUCUCUGCUUAUUCAAUACUUCUCUCUUUGUGUUCUCUAUAUAUAUGAUUUUCUAGCUGUUGUAUAUGUAUGUUCAGCUGUUCUCUAUCUUCUAUCUCUCUUUCUCUCUCUGUUUUCAUAUGUUUUCUCUGCAUCCUUUCAAUUUCUCUCCCUUUCUUCUCUCUCUGUACAUUCAACUGCCUUCCAACUCUCUGUCUCUCCCUGUGGGCAUUCAUUUCUUCUCCUUCUCUCUCUCUCUGUGGAUUGAAACUCUCUACUAAAUGCAAUGGAAGACUAGUGUAGUUAAUCCUCACAGCAGCAUGACUUGAUGAAGGAAAGAAGGAGUUGAAUGCCGACUUGAGAACAUUGAAGAAAGGAGUUGAUUUCUUGGUGUUUCUCAUGUUAUUUCCUGGAUUCUGAGACAUCUGUAUAUACUUGAGUUAGCCCUUCACGUGUUCCUUUGGCAGAAGACUCGUAGAGGUAACCCUUGUUGAAAGAGGGAGUUGGAUGAAAGAAGUUGAUUUCAUGGUGUUUCUAAUGCUAUUUCUUGGGUUCUGAGACGUCUGUAUAUACUUCAGUCACCCCCUUCAAGUCCCCCUUUGCCGGAAGACUGGUAGAGAGGAUCCUUGUUGAUAGAGAGAGUUGGAUAAAAAGAGUUGA